rnacentral:lncRNA from 1 species
ACUUGUUACAAUGCUUUUUAUUUAAUGCAAAUACAAGCGAUCAAUUGGUUCGUGAAUCUCCCAAGUCUGUCCUUAAAAACAGCAAAUCAGAAAAAGGGUGGAAAGCGUAAUUUGAAUUUUCUUGGAAGUGAUUUCUAGUAUUUGCAACUUGACUAUUUGAUUUGAAACUUGAUGUAUUUGAAUUUGUGGACACAGAAGCAUAAAGGCCAUAAAUAGGCUCCCUGGCUUCACAUUCCACAGGUCAGGAACGACCUUCUCCAGCGGACCAGACACAUCUUCCGGAAGCCCUCCUUCUACAGACUGGGCAGGAGGUGGGCACAGCUGUCUCCAAGGCAGCGUGAGACCCACCUGAGCUCCCCUGCUCCCGCUCGUGCCACCUGAGCCACGUGGCCCCCCCAGAUCUGGCAGCGAGUGUUCCUCUGAGGAGAACCCCACCGAGGGUAGAAUUUCCAUUCUCAGUUCCAAUCACAGUGAUAAUGUCAGCACUUGCUUUCUGAGGCAGAUGUUCCACCCAGAACUGGCAGCAUCACAUGCGCGACAAUCACAGCACACUGCAGGGAAGGGAUCUAGAUGUGGCCGCGCUCUUUGGGUGGGUGGCACAGAUGGUCAGGCCACCCUCCCAUGAUAGGUCUCAUUUGCCCCAGUGAGGAACAGAUUUAACGAAGGGCAGCCUUUGCGAAGGAUAGUGGACAAGGCUUCGUAUUUUUAAAUGUAGUGGAAGCUUAAGAAAACCCCAAUGCUCCUGGUCAGUUUGUUUUUUCUGGGCUAAGGGUCUACACAGCUAGGAGAGCACACGCUUCGUGACCGAGAACUGACUUUCCUAAAUGAAGAUUACCAGCAGUCCUGGGACCAGUCAGCUAACUGUAUGCUUACUAUUGCAGGAGCAAUGACGGGGGCCACUAAAAACUGCCCCUGGAAAGAGGUUUAAAUUUUCCAUUCACAAAGCAAAUCAAGCUUCCUAAUUAGCUACAACACAGCCGGAAAGCUCAGCGCCUACUGUCCUGCCAAAGCCCUGCCUCCACUGCCCUGCACGACGCGCACGUCUCUGCUGCAGGAACUGCGUGUCGGUUUUCUCCAGUUCACUCGUGUUCAAAGAACUCGUGGCAGGCAGUGGUAACCAUGGCGACAAAAGCCAUGAAUUCCUGGAAGUCACACUCGCCAUCUUCAUCGCUGUCCAGUGUCUCCAUGACUUUGUCCACGACCUCCUGCUCUUUGAUUUCCUGAGAGAUAAGAGAAGCUGUUGAGCUUGUUUCUAAAUGAAAUUUGGGGCCAUCGAAUGUGAUGAGAAGGUGUCUGGCCUUAAUAAUGUGUCUCAGAAACAACCUAAGAAUGCUAUGGAAAGACCAAAGACCAGAAAAGACUCUUGUGAUCAGGAGGCUGUUGGCUGGGAGACGUGUCUAGGGGUCUGAGCCUUCUCUUCCACUUUCCUGUAGGCCUGGAGGGACCUGGGCUACUUCCAAAAACUGAGUGGACUAGACAGGAUCUGAAAAACGGCAGGUCGUUUGUGUUAAAACGCCCAAAACAGUCUAGAUCAGCCUGAGCACAUUAUAUGCAAAUGUUUUGAAAACAAUAAUGAACUGUUGGCCCCUGUACGUUCUCAUUGUUUGUGGACAGGGCAACUAAGCCUACUCGGGACUGACCGCGUCGUGAAGGCUUCCCGUGGACUUCCGAGUUUUGAAAGUGGUUUUUGGCUGAAAUGACUCGGGAACACGCCCUAACGGUAUUAACCUCGCAAGGGGUUUUGCCACUUGAGUUGCUUUCAGGUGUUUGGGGACAUUUCCCAACCUUCUGCCCCACGCGGAGCCGGGUGGUGAAACAGCCUCGGAGGGACGGACACGGGGCAGGAAGGCUGUACCCUGCACACUGAGGAGGAGCAUAAAGGCCUGCUGGUUCUGAAUCACCAGCCCAGGCAGCAGAGCCUGUGACGCAGAAUGUACAGCGGCUGCCUUGGGGCAAAACAAUGAGAGACCGAGGUUCCCGUGGGGGUUGGGGUGGGACAUCUGCUCAAAGAGGAACUUUAAAUACUUGAUAGAUUUGCCUUCAAACCAGCAGUGCUCAUGACACCUUGAUACACUCACCAGGAAUUACUCAUCUUUUUUUUUUUUUUUUUUUUUUUUUCUUUUCAGGGCCACACCCUCAGCACAUGGAGGUCCCCAGAAAUAGCAAAAAAGACAAAAAAUAAAUAAAUAAAUAAUAAAAAUAAAAGCAAACUCACCUCCAGGAAGUGGGAAAGCUCGCUGUUGAUGAGCUCCUUGAGUUCGGAUUUCUUCAGCUUGUGCUUGUCCCCCUCCCUCCCAGAAUACUGAUGGAAGACGUCAAUCAGGGCCACCACGGCCUUCUCCAGCUCCGACAUCCCGGGUCCUCCUAGGGCAGAGAGGUCCAGGUGUCGCCCGUGCCGCCCUCAGCCCUGGCUCCCUUCCUUUCAGGCUUGGAGUUGUUUGAGUCUCCCGCCCCCUGGGCCCCCUCCCUCUCCCUUCUCCGUCCUCUGUUCUCCUGCCAUUGGGCUGCUGGCUGAAUUCGGCCAAUAGACAUUUCAGGCAAAAUACAGAGGCCGAGCAGUGAAGGGGAGACGCUGUUGGAAUUGGUCUGGAAGAGGUCGUUGAUCUGAACUAUGGAGUCCACAGCGUCCUAAUUCUCACAAUAAAGAUGAGAAAACAGUGGAAAAGUCCUAUUUCCACAGCAACAUACACAUAUUUCCAAGGAUGAGUUUGGCAAGAAAAGUGCAGGACCUUCCAAAAGAUACUAAGAUCACAAAAUGGAGGAACUUACUUUCCUUUGGAUGAAUAUAUAAAUGUGACUCAUUUUUAAAAAAACUUUUUUAAUACAAAUAUUGAUGGCAAUUUUUUUGAUAGGCAAGAAAUCGAUUUAUUAAGACAGGACACUCGGGCGAGAUGCAAGCGGGCCCGCAAGCAGUCUCUGCCGAUGGCAUUUUUUUGAUGGGUGAAGAACACGACCAAAAAACAGCUGUAAAAUUCAACUGGAAAAGUAAAUAUGGUGGCAUUGCCACAGAAUUUUCUGAAAAGGAUCAAGGAAAGUUACUUGACCUUCCAAAAACAAACCUGUAUUGCCGGCUGUCUGAUGAAAACAGGGCUGUGCAGUGAAGCUUGCCUCCCCAAAAUGUCUCUUUGGUACAGGAUUAUUUUGAGCCGAAAACAAACAAGCCCAGAAGACUCAGGAAGAAGCUCUGGCAUCCGCCGUAGCUGCCUGAAUCAGAAUCUAGAUGGAGGGCCAGUUUCGGGACGUGCUCACAAGAGAUGCAGCCAAGCAGGCCGCCGGGUGAGGACUCGCAGGCACCUGGCCCCCUCUGGCCCUCCUCUGCGCGGCAGCGCGAACAGUCGCUUUACCAAAACUUUGCUUCUCCAUCGCGGUCAGAACGGCCUUCCUCCCCCGCCUCGUCCAAAGCCACGCUCCCCGGACGCCCUCCUUUGUCCUUAGCUGUUGAUGGUACUUGGGGCGAGGGUUUGGGCCGUUUUGAGGAGUUGCUGGGUUUUCCUGGGUCUUUCCCAGGUAUGCAUGUUACUAAACUUGGUUUGGGUUUUUCCUGCUAACCUGCCUCAUGUCUCUUUGAUUCUUGGGCCCUGGAGGGAGGAAAAUGGCCUCCUCCGACGGCUCUGAGGCCAGCAAGUGGGGCCGGAGGCUGGGCCGCAGCCAGGUGCUUUGUAUUCACGGAGGCGCUGCCUCCAGCGACCAGGAUCGCUGCCGCUCUCUGCGCUCAUCCAGUAGGAAGCUUCUGUCGCCCCUCAUGUCCCUUGCACCAUGGCCUGCGACCUAAGGAAACAGCUGGUACCCUGGGAAUGAGGCAGUGUACAAAGGACCGCUUGUCAACUGUUUCACAAAGCUGAGCCACACAGCCAGAGAAGUUUACCGACGUUUGGCCUUGAGUUC